CAAAAACAUCGCCUCUUGAGAGAUAUAAGAGGUCCAGCCUGCCCAGUGACCUAGUUCAACGGCCGCGGUAUCCUAACCGUGCGAAGGUAGCGUAAUCACUUGUUCUUUAAAUAAGGACUAGUAUGAAUGGCACCACGAGGGUUUAACUGUCUCCUUUUUCUAAUCAGUGAAACUAAUCUCCCCGUGAAGAAGCUGGGAUUUUUUUAUAAGACGAGAAGACCCUAUGGAGCUUUAAACUAUUUUACACCUGCUGCCCACAAACCAACUUCCAGAAAUUAACCCUAAAGCAUAGCACUUUGAUUAAUGGUUUUUGAUUGGGGUGAUCGCGGAGUAAAAAAUAACCUCCACGACGAAAGGAUUUUUCCUGAGCCAUAAGCCACAGCUUUAAGCACUAAUAUUAUUAACGGCUAUUGACCCAAUAAUUUUGAUCAACGAACCAAGUUACCCUAGGGAUAACAGCGCAAUCCACUUCAAGAGCUCCUAUCGACAAGUGGGUUUACGACCUCGAUGUUGGAUCAGGGUAUCCUAGUGGUGCAGCCGCUACUAACGGUUCGUUUGUUCAACGAUUAAAACC
rnacentral:rRNA from 1 species